GAAAAUCUAAAACUAUAGAUUGGCUGCAACGAUGUCACUUUCUGCAUUCACAGACAGGGAAAGAACUAAAAGAGGACAAAGCUUGGUUUGCUUUUCAGUAAAUGCUGGUAGACUUACAAACUAUGGCCCGUGAAAGAGGUUGAUGUGAAGAACCAUUGGAGUGAUUUAUGUAACGACAUCAAGUUAGCCACAAAAGGGAAAUAAAGUAUCUACUCAGCUUGCUUCUGACUUUUUGUCGUGUACAUAGACGUUUCAAUGACCUCAAAAGUCAUGGAACAAAGGUAAGAAAAUUUACACUG